CCAGGUUGGUCUAAUGGAAUCAGUUUAUUUCUAUGCUCUUCUUCAGUUUUUCUGAAAAGACUUCUCAUGAAUCUGUAGCUGUACCCAUGCUUUCUCCCAACCUUGUAGAUCCUCUGCAACUCUGCUGUGCGGAGGGUUUCAUCGCUACAGUGUGUGAGGCAUCGACGGAAGUAGGAUGUAAAGGCGGACUUCUUAUAUGUCCACGGGUUGAAAGACCAUCUAGGGAUGUUUGUUGGGGUGGUUGUAGGUUUAACAUAAACUGUGGUGCUGAAGGUACCUUCUAAAAGAUAAAUUUUGAUAUCUAGGAAAUUGACUUCAAUGGGACUUGCUUGCGCUAGUUUUAGAUUGAGC
rnacentral:lncRNA from 1 species